UUGGCCCUUGCAAUGAAAAUUGAAGCUGCCUCAGAACCGCAAUGGAGGAGGCCUGGUACUUCAAGCGAGGAGCAUCUGUUGGCUGAACCACCGUCUUUUGAAGGCAUUGAACUGCUCGAAGACUCGCCAAGUCGUCU